rnacentral:sRNA from 1 species
UAUCCCCCAAACUAAGGGGGGAUGAGAACCACCGACCGGGGUUCGACAACUGGCGCAGCCAGUUGGACAGACCGGGCGCACAGCGAACGGGCUGCCCGAAGGGCGAGCGCAGCGAGUCAAUCCCCCCCUCACCGCCA